rnacentral:rRNA from 1 species
GAGCACGUAGGUGGGUUUGUAAGUCAGAUGUGAAAGCCUUCUGUUCAACGGAAGAAUUGCAUCUGAAACUACAAACCUUGAGUAUAGGAGGGGAGAAUGGAACUUCUGGUGGAGCGGUGAAAUGCGUAGAUAUCGGAAGGAACGCCGGCGGCGAAAGCGAUUCUCUGGCCUAUUACUGACACUCAGUGUGCGAAAGCUAGGGGAGCAAACGAGAUUAGAUACCCCGGUAGUCCUAGCCGUAAACGAUGGGCACUAAGUAGAGGGGUUUU